GAAAACAGUGCCCUUUCUGUGGAAAAACCAAAGCCAAAACCGGGCUUCGACCACAUUACUUUGACUCGAUCGGCCCGUCGCGAUUGUCUAGUCGCGAUGAAAUGGAAGGCGAAGUUAACCGGGAUCCAAUUGUACUCGAUCACUAAUUCUGUCGCAACUUCCUAAAUCUUUGGGCGGAUGUUUUCCGUGAUGAGUUUGUCCAAAUCCAGAAGACGCUCGACGCGUUCUAGCAAUCUGGAGAAACGCGAGAGGAAGGAACGGGUGGGGGUUUGCCGAAUGGGAACUCUCAAGGAAGUGACGUGCGUUGAAAUCUCGGCCAAAAGAUUAAAGAAAUGAAGAAGGGUCGUUCAGUUCCCACCAUCGGUCAAAAGUGCGACGCCAAUCUGCCACGAGGCAGCGCACGAGUCGCCCUCAUCGCCGUGGGCCGUCCCCGAGUCAAAGACGAAGCCAGCCGCCCUCUCCUCCGCCCGCCACCCCCCCCCCCCCGGCGAAGUCAAAGGUCGAAAACUCGGUGUUCCCGACGUGUUUUCUCUCACUUUCCAGGAAAAUGCAAAUUGACCCCACCUGCAUCAUCAUAUAAAGCACCUCAAGAUCCCUAACCCGACGCCUGCACAAUCCUCCAUCCCGACCCUCUUCUCCCCGUUCCGGUUCUCGUUCCGAUCUCCGCCCUCGCCUCGCGGUUCUGCUGCUUUUUGGAGCGGUUUCUCGGCACGAUGAACGCGAUGAGGUCCUGCUUCGUGCCAGUCAUUGUUGGGUUCAUGUUCUUGACUCUUCUUCAGCUCGGCUACGGACAGUCCGUGGUGGCUCCGUCGCCCGCGCCGGAAGCUCCUUCCAACGACGGGAAGGCGAUUGAUCAAGGCCUUGCGUACAUCCUCCUGUUAGUUGCCCUCGCGAUCACAUAUCUCUUGCACUAGAUCCUCCUCUUACGUGCUGCGGCGGCGAUCCGACCAUCCGAGCCGAUUCUUUGUUUGGUUUCUUCCCUGCGAUGGACCUCCAUUAGGUUGAAUUCGCAGCGUGUUGUCACCGAUUUUCGUGGGUGCUCUGCUAUGUCCUUGUAAUUAAAGUUAUGUCUCGCGAGAAAUUAAAUUCUGUAGCCAAUUUUUGCUAAUUCCAUAUUGGAUUGAUUUA